GUCAUUAAUACGUUUUUCAUCUUCCCAUCUCGUGGAACUCUCCAUUGACAUUUGACGAGGCAUCAUGCCAGCAACUUCAACAACUGUGGUGGAGAACAAGCGCAAGAUAACGAUUUUGACAAAAAAAAAAAAAGCAUUCAGGAGCGAACAAAUUAGAUUAGAAAGUCACCCCGAAAAUGUCUUUUAAGUGAUCAAGGCUAGACUUUCGUUCCUAAACCACUUGGCCAAUUACAUCUGAGAAUAUAUCGCAUCGCGAGCACUCUUUGCCUAAGAGAGAUAUCGAACAUUACAUAGCAUAACCUUAUUGAGAUAUAUUACUUCACUUAAUAACUAUACAAUUACAGCAGAGCUUCUUAAGACAUCCAAACUGCCCUUAAGUGAAAGGUACUGAUGCUAAUCCCAGGUCUGCAGCAACUCUUAGGACUAGCUAUAUAGAGUUAUAUUUAUUGUCCCUAAUGGAUAUACAUGAUAUGUAGUUCAUACAUAGUCAAACCUAGUUAACGGAGCUUAGGAAAGCGCGGCGGUGGUGGGGAGAUCUUCUUGCUGCGAAAAUCCACCGUUAGCAUGCCACCGAACGCUCGAGCCGCCUCGAUGGAAUUCAUGGGCUUCUGGGGAGGGGCUUGAGGAGUCAGGGUUUGCCUAACCAUCUUCUUGGCCAAGCCCUCUUCCAACAUGGUGAAGGCUUCCUCUGCAAUUUUGACGAGUUCCCGUGAAUGAGCCAUGAUAAGCGCGCUGUCACCUAGUGCUAAACUAGCGACUUGGUGAGUGAUCUAUCUAUGAGGCUGUGUUCUUUGUGCUGCUUCUGUGUGGCGAAGAACGAAACACCCCCCUGGCCCUUUUUAUAGCUCCGACU
rnacentral:lncRNA from 1 species